UAGAUGAAUGCUCGCUGGAUUGAGCGCUUAGCUGUUAACUAGGAGUUUGUGGGAUCGAGGCCUUCUCAUCUAG
rnacentral:tRNA from 1 species